UAUUAUUAUUAUUAUUAUUUUAUUACACAAUAAGCAUGUAAAAACUAAAUCAUUUACUUGAGAAGUGUUGCUCUCCUUGUAAAUUUUGAAACAAAAUCACUAAUAACACUUUGAUCAUCAAUUUCACAUGCCACUUAAUGAAGGAAAAGAGCCCCAAAGCAAUAAAAAUAUAAAAUUAUAACUAAACAAAAUCACUAAUAACACUUUGAUCAUCAAUUUCACACAUCACUUAAUGAAGGAAAAUGGCCCCAAAGCAAUAAAAAUGUAAAAUUGUAACUCUCAAGAAUCGAACCUACAUCAACAAGAUUCCACAUAACUUGAAGAGAGCAUCUUUCAACUGAACUAGUUAAUAAAGUUAUUUAUUUUUUAAUUAUUUAAGUAUAUAUAAAUAUAUAGACUUAUAUAUAAUCGGGGGCCCUCAAUUUUUCGGGGCCCUGUGCGGUCGCCCACCCCGCACACCCUCAGAACCGCCACUG
rnacentral:lncRNA from 1 species